UUGGCGAUGAUGAUUGGCGCAGGGGUACGUACCUCAGCCAAUAAUGGGGGCUGAGUGUUGGCACCUUCUGUUAGUGGGCAUGUGGCCGGCUGAUGGGGUUGGGUACCAACACGAAACAGACGCCUAAAUCUGAGCCCG